rnacentral:miRNA from 1 species
UAGGAACGGUAGUAGUGGAGA